rnacentral:rRNA from 1 species
CGCCUUUAGCACUCGAAGUAUUAGAGGUCCUGCCUGCCCAGUGAAACUUUUCAACGGCCGCGGUAUCCUAACCGUGCAAAGGUAGCGCAAUCCCUUGCCCCCUAAUUAGGGGCUAGUAUGAACGGCAAAAUGAGGGCCUAACUGUCUCCUGAGACAGAGUAAUGAAAUUGAAAAUCCAGUACAAACGCUGGAAUAAUAUCAUAAGACGAGAAGACCCUGUGGAACUUUAACUAUUAUACUAGCACAUAAUCAACUCGCCCACCCUAGUAAAACUUUUAGUUGGGGCAACUGCGGAGUAAAACAAAACCUCCAUAAAUAACGACUAACCGUCCCGCUUAAGGCCCGCACGCCAUCAAUACAAACACUUGAUCCGGCACAGCCGAUUAAUGAACCAAGCUACCCCAGGGAUAACAGCGCUAUCUCCUUCAAGAGUCCCUAUCGCCAAGGGGGUUUACGACCUCGAUGUUGGAUCAGGACCCCCCGGUGGUGUAGCCGCUACCAAAGGCUCGUUUGUUCAACGAAUAAUGUCCU